CCAGACUCCUACGGGAGGCAGCAGUGGGGGAUAUUGCACAAUGGGGGGAACCCUGAUGCAGCGACGCCGCGUGGGUGAAGAAGUAUUUCGGUAUGUAAAGCCCUAUCGGCAGGGAAGAAAUUGGACGGUACCUGACUAAGAAGCCCUGGCUAACUACGUGCCAGCAGCCGCGGUAAUACGUAGGGGGCAAGCGUUAUCCGGAUUCACUGGGUGUAAAGGGAGCGUAGACGGCCAUGCAAGCCUGGAGUGAAAGCCCGGGGCCCAACCCCGGGACUGCUCUGGAAACUGCGUCGCUGGAGUACGGGAGGGGCAGGCGGAAUUCCUGGUGUAGCGGUGAAAUGCGUAGAUAUCAGGAGGAACAUCAGUGGCGAAGGCGACUAUCUGGCACAUAACUGACGCUGAGGAGCGAAAGCGUGGGUAGCAAACAGGAUUAGAUACCCUGGUA
rnacentral:rRNA from 1 species